CAUGCACAUGUGGGAGGUCUGUCAAAGCAACAUGCGUAUGAGGGACUGAGGAGCCCGGUCCCCCAUUGGGGCUGGGAGAAAAAGAGCUUGGGGUGACUCAUGAAGAAGGCUGACUACACAAGACCACCCAAGUUAUUCUGAGUAUUGUAGUGCUAUCCUAAGAUCCAUGGAGCACCAACAAACUGUUUAAGAUUCUCCACGACAGUGAUACUGCUGCUGUAGAGACCCAACUUUAUGAGCAAGUGGACUGGGACCAUGAGCCUCGAACUUGAGUGUGUAUCAGAUCAGGACCCAGAAACUGAUCAGAUAUUGUUGGCAGAGCAUGGAAUGGAAUGUGCAUAAGACUGAGACAUCCAGUAUGUAAACAGUGCAUCAGCAUCUGAGAAUAACAUUAUUUUGAGUAAAAGAAGAAAUCUGGAGAGACUCCCCCCUCUCAGGUCAGGCAGCUCAAACGUCCACCACAUGGAGCAGUGCAGAGAGAUGAAGCUCAGAGGCGACUUCCUCCUCCCUUGAACUCAGGAUCAGCCUUUCCAGGGGCUUCAGGUUCUGUCAGAGGUGCCUGUUGCCACCAACACUUGCAGCUGCUCCCUGUCCUUCAUUCUGAAGGCUGGCAGUGCAGAGGAUUCUGCAUCACAGGUCAAAAAUCUAGCAGACAGUGGAAUCCGCAUCUGAGGAAGGUAAAGAAGGGGGGAAGUCGAACUGGUAAAUGCUCCUGAGUCUUCAGACAACCACAGAUGAAGCUGAUCUUCAUACCUCUUGCUCUCCUCUUCCUCCAGCAGCAGAGGAUUAGUCAGACAGUGGGCCAGGAGCUCCUGGGCAGAGACUCUACUCCUCAUAUCCUCCACCCUGAAAUUCACACUCCUCUUUACUGUUCCCACAGUAAAGUAACAGAGUAGGAAAAAUGUUUGCAGAAGGAAAAAAAGACUUUAUCCCCAAGUUCUCCUGACUCAGCUGAUGUUCCUUCCGCCUCUGCAUUCUGGUUUGUUCCCAUGACAAAGGCACAUCAUAUUUUUUUUCAAAUAUUUUUUAAAAAGAUAUACAUCUCCCUAACCAUCUUCACUUGGUGCCUCUGAUAUAAUGGGAAGCCUGGGGGAUGUCAGGCCUCAGUUUGUAGCUCAUGUACAAGGCAAUGACCUUGUGCCACGGGAUCUGGGCAACUGAGGGCAGUGCCCCCCCAAGUAGGGAAGGAGCUCUUGCUCUUCCACGUGCAGUGGGUUGUGCGGAACGGUUUCCCUGCCUGGGACUGGAGGACGGGCUGGGGAUCUGGGAGGCAUACAGGAUGACUGUGGAGCACAAAGGGAGCAGGGGGCCCCCGGGCGGCAGAAAGUCCAUCUGCAGAAGCUGGAAGCCGAGCGCAGCCUGCCUCACCAGGCCGGCGGGUGCUCAGGACAUUUCAGUGCC